rnacentral:lncRNA from 1 species
UUGUUUCUCAAACCAAAUCAAACCAAAACCAAAUCAACCCAAUUAAAAUAAACCCAAUUAAGAACCUAAUUUAAUCAGAUUAAAUUAGAUUUAAAUCUGAUUUAAUUUUCUAAUCGAAUUAGAAAUUAGGUUGACCCAAGUUCUAAUUGAACUAGGACUAGUUUUUUCUUGCACUUGGCUUAUCCAAUAAACCAAUUGGAC